rnacentral:tRNA from 1 species
GUUAGGUUAGUUUAAUGGAAAAUGCCAAUUUGUGGAAUUGGUGAUAAGAGUUGUCUUACUUAACC